GUAGCACUUGCCUAACAGUAGCGAUCCAACAUCCAACUGUAAUUUAUCAUCAUCUAAUGUUUCCAAUAUAUAUCAUGAUACUGGAAAUGGAUCAGGGCCUCGGGUAUCGGUGGAGUUGGGCAUGACCGAAGGAAACAGGUAUCAUUACUCUAACGUCCAGACGCAACCCCUGUCAAGGCUUCAGGAUAGUGUUGAUGUCAGUGUGAUGUAUUAUGGGAUGCCUUCUAACGGAUCAGAGCCUAGCCUUCAUUCUCCAACUUCGUACUCCAAGUCCACUGUCAUCUCCUCCAGUCAGCCCUCACCCCAGACCCCUCAAACACCAACCAUUAUUUUGACAGCUCCAGGAGGAGAAGAACCCCUGUUGAGGCAAGACUUUGCUAAAGAUAUUGGUUCAGCCAUGGCCAGUAUGUCUGGCUCCUUUGAGACAGAUUUUUUUUACUCCAGAUGAUGCAUUACGUGCCGGACUGGACCCCAUUGAUUUUGAUGGAUUACAGAUACUCACAGACCCUGAUAUUUGUGUAAUAAGUGACCCAGCUACCGAGGAGACUUUCAGACUUGAGCAUUCAUAGCAAUCAAUGGGAAGGUUUGGGAUAUAACAGGUGUGGGGCUCUAUCACUCAGCUAAAGAAUAUAAGCCAUAACAUUACUCCACCAUAUCCUGUGAGUUGAAGAGUAGUGAGUGUUUGCCAUAAAGGCACUUUGCCACAUUUCCAUUUGAACUAUUUAUUUGCUUUUGUAUAAAAUGGAAUGGAUUAUUUUUAAGAAUUGAAACAUGUUUUUUUUUUUAAAGGAUUCACCGGAUGAAGAGCCUGGAAACAAGAUAUAUCUUUUAAUUAAAUGAUUGUACUUUUAAAGCUUUUGUUUUUAAAACGAGUUAUCAUGCCUUAAGUGCAUGAGUGAUACUUUUAAUGUAUAUAACUGUAAAUUGUCAUUUUUGUAGUGUUAGUUCUUUAAAUGUUAGUACUGCUGACAAAGCACCAGUAUUAGAUUGUUAGAAACUGCACAUAAACUGGCAUUUAUUGUAAUAUAAUCAACUUUCAUUCAUGCCAUUUUGAAAAAUCAUUUUUUUAAGCUGUGUUAAACAGUAAUUACUUCUUACAGAUAUGUGUUGUAUCAUUCUUCAAAUAAUGUUUCCAGUGAGAAAAAUAUAAAUGUCAGUCUACUUGUUAUACCACUAUAUUCUAAAGAUUUCUUUCUUAAUUCCUUUUAUUUAAAAUCAACUUGCUUAUCCUCAGCAGAACUGUUAAAAUUUAUUCCUUAAAACCAAAACAUAGUUACUUCAACUUAUUUUACCUGUCUGUGAUUUUAAAGAAACAUGAUUCUUCAAGUUCUUACUGGACAGUAAGAUUUAUUGGAGUCGAACUAGCUGUUGCUUGAGAAAUGUCCCUGAAGAAUCUGUUCAGCCAGUGACAUGAAAAGCAUUUAAUUUCCUAGUCUUAUGUUUCUCAAGUGGACGUUCUCGUUUUAAAUUAUCUCCUUUAUUGUUUAGCUUGUCAUAACCCUAUCGCCACUGGAAUAACGCACGAAAACCAAAUCUUUAAGAUGUUUCGGUGAGAAGUUAUAACAUGAUAAAGUCAUAUCUAUUGUUAUGUUAUCAUUAUCAUAAAGUCAUAUCUAUUGUACAGUAAAAUAUUUUUGAAACAAUGGGAUUUAGAGAGCUAUUGUACUACAUUGCUGUUACUUGUUUCUAGGUUAUCCACCCGUUACUUGUUUGUAGGUUAUCCACCCUGUUACUUGUUUCGAGGUUAUCCACCCGUUACUUGUUUCGAGGUUAUCCACCCGUUACUUGUUUCGAGGUUAUCCACCCGUUACUUGUUUCGAGGUUAUCCACCCGUUACUUGUUUCGAGGUUAUCCACCCGCUACUUGUUUCGAGGUUAUCCACCCGCUACUUGUUUCGAGGUUAUCCACCCGCUACUUUUUUCGAGGUUAUCCACCCGUUACUUUUUUCGAGGUUAUCCACCCAUUACUUGUUUCGAGGUUAUCCACUCGUUACUUUUUUGUAUGUGUGUGUGUGCCACCAUUUUUGAUUAUUUUUACGUUUUACUUGAUUACACAAAAAGUUGUUUAUGUUUUAGUUUUAUUAUCAUUACCAAAAAUAAUACUGCAUGAAAACUAUAUGCAGAAGCAUUUUGAUUAUAAUAAAACUUAAAUGUUUAAGCUGCUCUGCGAUUCAGUUAAGUAGUGCAAAAAAAAUACAUUUAUGUGUAUUGACUAAUGUGCAAAGAAAUGGAUGAUUCAGUGAAAGUUUUUGUUUUUAUAUUAUUUGUAUAAUAUCAUGGUGAAAAGACUGUCAGAGUUUAAAAGGAAAUUAGCUUUUGUUGUUAAUAUAUGCAUCACUUGUGGCUGGGGGGGUGGGGAUAUGUGAACAAUUUAAAAUGCAAUAGUGCACAUUUAUUGUGUAUAUUUAACAACCUAAUUAACUUAUUAUGGGAAUUGUAUGCAGCAUUUAUGAUAAAAUUUUGAUAUGAAUAUUUUAUUUAGUGUUUCUUCAUAAUCUAUUAGUCUUCAAAAUGCCUAAAAAAAACUCUUUGCUCUUUGUCAUUCAAAUAAAGCUGUUCCAAGCUAUUCUAUUAAAUAUUUGAAUAAGUCCUGUAACUCAUGAUAAGCUGACUGUAUUAAAAUAUUCUUGACCGUCAAAUUACGUUCUUAUUAAAAGUGUUUCGGAUUCACAAGUUGAAUUGUUAUUUACCGAUACAAUCAUGUAAAUUAUUCAUUUCUCAUGUGAUGAGCUAUAAUGGUUGAGUAUUUUUAGUUCUGUGAAAGUGAUAUAAAUGGUCUUUAGAUAUUAGUGUUUACUGUUUAUGACUGAUAACUAUUACAUGCUAAUUAUUAUAUGACCAAAGAAUUUCGUGAAGAAAAUUAUAAAACAUUAUGAAACAAAAUAACUGGUAAAUUUUAGAUAUUUGUUUCUAAACUGUAAUAUCCUUUUUUUAGGUAGUUAGUUUUGCCAGGUUUAUACAACUCUGUGUACUUAAUAAACAUGUUGAACUCUAGUUGAAGAUUAAUUUAAAAUUAAAUUUUUAAUCUGGAGAAUUAUACCCCACCUAAAGCUCAUUAAUCUUGUAAACAUGAUAUACCCACACAAAAUACACAAUUAAGUUAAUAACUGUUUUUUUUUAACUUAUCUGUUCUUUUCUUAGUUCUAAAUGAAGAACGAAGUGUAACUUACACUAAUUUCACUCACAUGCAUGUGACAAACUGUAUUUCCAUUAGUAUAUUUUGUAUGGAUCUUUGAAAAGCUGCUUGUAAUGUGAUCCAUUCUAAUGCUACUAUUUCACUGAAGACAAAAGGAGCAUUUUGUGCUUGUUUCUGAUUUAAUCUUUCAGUUUUUAUUUAACCUUCAACAGAUUUAUUGUGAAGUGUGAUUGAUAAAGAGUGUACCCGUCAUAAUGCUCUAGAGAUAUUUUCUAGUUAAAACUCACAUCAGAUAUAAAUCUAUUUUUGUUUUCAAUUAGGUGUGGAGUUUUUAUAUUAAAAUGGAUUCCUUUAUAAUACAACUUAAGAUUGUAUUUUUAUUUUCAAUUAGGUGUGGAGUUUUUAUAUUAAAAUGGAUUCCUUUAUAAUACAACUUAAGAUUGUAUUUUUAUUUUCAAUUAGGUGUGGAGUUUUUAUAUUAAAAUGGAUUCCUUUAUAAUACAACUUAAGAUUGUAUUUUUGUUUUCAAUUAGGUGUGGAGUUUUUAUAUUAAAAUGGAUUCCUUUAUAAUACAACUUAAAAUUGUAUUUUUAUUUUUCAGCAUAGCCAUUACUUUUUUGAAGUUUAUACUAAAAUCUGAAGAUGUGUAAAUUGUUUUAUAAAUUUUGAAGACUUAUUUAUGAUAAGAUUAUGAAUUUAUCUUUCCAGUUUUGAGCUCAGUCUUAUCUUAGAAUCGUAAACACAAUUCAAAUUAUGAAACCGGAAACUAUUAAAACCAAAGAAACCUGUUGCGUAGUAAAUUGUUGAACCAUGUCCUUCUAAAAUAAAAAUACCUACAAGGUUCUAAAUGAGUCAUUUUUCUGGUUUCAUUGUCGAUAGGGAAUUAGAAUUCAUUGUGUUCAUGUGUAAAAACCCGGUGAAGGUGAAGUUUUGUGUAUUUAUAUGCAUAAACAGCAAAUGUUGUAUAUAUAAGACUCGUAUUGAUAUCACUGUGGAGCAUGUACAUUUUUUUUCUACAAGAUUUUAAAAGAUUUUCAUAAUAUAAUAAGCAUUUUAAACUGCCUUUAGAUUGUCACUUGAUUGAGGCUUUCUCCAGAAUUUAUUCAUUGUUUAUUACUGUGUGAUAACAGUGUUAUUGUACCAUUAUAAUGUGGGUAUUGUUUAUGUUGGAUUUAUUAUUGAUUUACCAGCUUUAUUUCAAAGGUGUGGAUAUUGUUUCUUUUGUAGUAUUAUGAUGUUCACCUGUGUGAAAACUUAUCGAAUGAUCGCAACUGUUGUUUUGUUUUCCAGCAACAUCAUAUUCGAAUAGUAUAUAUACAUGUAUGUUUAUAUCUGUCAUAAAGUUAUAAACAGAUUUGGACCUGACUUAAAAUUAACCAGUUGUCAUUUAAAUUGUAUGUAACAAUUACAUUGCAAAUGGUAUCAAACGUUUGUUGUCUUACGGAUUUAUGUCUUAUCGUUAAUUGUUUACCAUGUAAUGGUUUAAAAUCUUUGUUAAAGAGAAUAUAUAAUGACUAAAAAAAA